rnacentral:tRNA from 1 species
UGGGAUGUCGGCAAGCGGUAAGCCCCCGGGUUUUGGGUCCGGUAUUCAUAGGUUCGAAUCCUAUCAUCCCAG